GGCUUAGCAGUUCUGAGAUGCAACAGGAUAAGUCAGACACAAUGUGCUAUGGAGAGGAUCAAAUUCUGUGGCAACUGGAUGUACAAGUUAAAAGCUGACUUGGCAGGUGCAGGCUUGGCCGUCCUGGGCAAUGAGUUGGAUCUUCAAAGACCCGACGUGCAGUGGAGUUGCCGGCUGACCCUGUGCCUGCAGACAGCACACGUUGAGGAGUGACAGGUGGCUGGGAGCCCAGUGACUUGCUGGCUUUGGCUCAAAUAAAAG